rnacentral:rRNA from 1 species
UACGGGGGGGCAAGCGUUGUUCGGAAUUACUGGGCGUAAAGAGCUCGUAGGCGGCUGUUCAAGUCGAACGUGAAAACUCGGAGCUCAACUCCGAGCCUGCGUUCGAUACUGGACGGCUAGAGUCUGGUAGGGGGAUCUGGAAUUCCUGGUGUAGCGGUGGAAUGCGCAGAUAUCAGGAGGAACACCGGUGGCGAAGGCGGGUCUCUGGGCAGUAACUGACGCUGAGGAACGAAAGCGUGGGUAGCAAACAGG